rnacentral:rRNA from 1 species
GGAAUAUUGGACAAUGGGCGCAAGCCUGAUCCAGCCAUGCCGCGUGCAGGAUGACGGUCCUAUGGAUUGUAAACUGCUUUUAUACGAGAAGAAACACUCCUACGUGUAGGAGCUUGACGGUAUCGUAAGAAUAAGGAUCGGCUAACUCCGUGCCAGCCGCCGCGGUAAUACGGAGGAUCCAAGCGUUAUCCGGAAUCAUUGGGUUUAAAGGGUCCGUAGGCGGUUUAGUAAGUCAGUGGUGAAAGCCCAUCGCUCAACGGUGGAACGGCCAUUGAUACUGCUAGACUUGAAUUAUUAGGAAGUAACUAGAAUAUGUAGUGUAGCGGUGAAAUGCUUAGAUAUUACAUGGAAUACCAAUUGCGAAGGCAGGUUACUAACCAACGAUUGACGCUGAUGGACGAAAGCGUGGGGAGCGAAC